AAAAAAAAGUAUAACUGUUUGAUUGCAUAUAGCUCAAAGACCAUAAGCAGUAGAACCCAAAAUCGAGUUUCAUUGCAUCCAGCGAUGUCUAACUUAAAUUUUGGUAUACUCGACAGGCAUUUUCGUCCAAGAUUGACUGAGAUAUGAGUGUUUAAACUUUUGUUAGCAAAUUUGAAACGGUCACAAAUUAGCUAAAAACGGCCUAUUAAACUGAUUUUUAGCUAAUUUGUGACCGCUUCAAAAUUGUUAACAAAAGUUUAAACUCUUAUAUCUCAGUUAAUCUUGGACGAAUAUGCCUGUCAAAUAUACCAAAAUUUAAGUUAGAUAGCGCUGGAUGCAAUUAAAC
rnacentral:lncRNA from 1 species